rnacentral:rRNA from 1 species
UUCAAUACUACACUUAACACGUAGUGUGCACUUUUCUCUUAGUAAGACGUCGUGAUCCAUUAGAAAUUGAUAGAUGCCAAUCUAUAUUAGGUCAUCAAUGAGCCAAUAUGAAGUUUAUUGGAACAAAUGCCAUAAUCUUUUAACGGUUGUGUAUAUUGUCUAGUAAGCAUAUUGAUACUCGCUAUGACUGUCUGAUGGAUUUUAAUGAUUGUAUUAUUGAUGUUACGGCAUCACUCUUACGAGAGCAUUUGAUACAUAUCUGAUCAACGACGGUUAAAUUUGGGAUACCUUUUGGACCCGUCUUGAAACACGGACCAAGGAGUCUAUCUAGUAUGCGAGUAAAUGAGUAGUUUAUGAAACUUAUUUACGUAAUAAACGUAACUAUUCUAUGGGAUUACGAGAAUGGCUUCUUAUGGAGGUUAUCUCUUCCAUCCCGGGGUAUUUUUAUCAACAUAUACGCAAGUAUAUGGAAAAUAUACCAUGAGCGUACUGGAUACGACCCGAAAGAUGGUGAACUAUGCCUGAUCAGGUCGAAGUCAGGGGAAACCCUGAUGGAGGACCGAAGCAGUUCUGACGUGCAAAUCG